GCAUCACAGAAAAUGAAUAUACAUCAUGUGAGACACCGAUGAUGAGCUAUCUUAGAGUGCACAACUCUCUACAAGUAGAAAGACAUCGUUCUACUUCCUCA